UUUAACAACCCCACUAUUUCCCGAGGGUCAGCAUGUUUUCACAUACUGCGUUUUAAAAAUUUCUGAAGCAGAAAUGACGAUUAGACCUGUCAGUCCUUUCACAAUGGAAGACUUAGUUAGCUGCCAGCUCCCUCACCUCCUUUCACGGUGGCAAGCGAUGAGGUUUUGAGACAAGAAUACAGCCUGAGGGAUAGCUAAUCGGAGUGCCAGGCAGAGAAGGAAGGCAAGAUUCACAUGGAGCUGGGAGUGAGAAGCACUAGAAUUCUUAUAUAAAAAGCCACAUCUUACCAAAGCCUUGUGUGGGAGAUAACAGAUACAUCAAAGGUCAUCAUGCCAAAUUUAACAUCCAUAUGAGACAGAGUGGUUACACAUUCACUCUCUUCUUGGCGCUGCUUUCUGUCUUUUCCUUCUCACCAAGAUAAACUUAAAGAAGAGAAAGGAGUCAGCACCUUCGAAGUGUUCCCAGCACACACUGAACCUGACUCAGGCUUGUAGUGAUAGCACUUACAUCACCCGUAUGUAAAAUUGUUCCAGCAAGGAGCUGGCUGAACGGUUUGGGCAACUGGCCACUUAACGCAUGCAGUCAUUUGGAGGCCAAACUAGCCGUGUCCCAGACCGGAAGGCUGCUGAAAGGAAAGUGAGGGGCUGGGCGUGCAGUGAAAGGACAGAAAGCAGCAUUCAUGGAGCCCCUCAGAAAAAAAACAAAAAACGAAACCGGGCCCGACCACACAAGCGGCUCGGUGAGGGGGCUUCUCCUCGUCCAGCUCAAAAACAGCAGGAAGGCGGCUUUGGGUUCCCCUUAGGAUGAGCACCGCACACACCGCACGCUACGGUUCCGGCGGAGAUCCCCACACCCGCGGAUCGCGCACCGCACCCCGCCCACAC